rnacentral:misc_RNA from 1 species
AGCAGCCGCGGUAAUUCCAGCUCCAAUAGCGUAUAUUAAAGUUGUUGCAGUUAAAAAGCUCGUAGUUGAAUUUCGGGAUCAAUGCGUCGGUCGUGCCUUCGGUACGUACUAGCGUCAUUGAUUCCUCCCUUCUGAAGAACCGUGAUGUCAUUAAUUUGGUGUUACGGGAAAUCAGGACUGUUACCUUGAAAAAAUUAGAGUGUUUAAAGCAGGCUAACGCUUGAAUACAUUAGCAUGGAAUAAUGAAAUAGGACGUUCGAACCUAUUUUGUUGGUUUCUAGGAUCGACGUAAUGAUUAAUAGGGAUAGUUGGGGGCAUUAGUAUUCAAUUGUCAGAGGUGAAAUUCUUGGAUUUAUUGAAGACUAACUACUGCGAAAGCAUUUGCCAAGGAUGUUUUCAUUAAUCAAGAACGAAAGUUAGGGGAUCGAAGACGAUCAGAUACCGUCGUAGUCUUAACCAUAAACUAUGCCGACUAGGGAUCGGAUGAUGUUAAUUUUUAAUGUACUCAUUCGGCGCCUUA